rnacentral:tRNA from 1 species
UGGGAUGUAGCUCAAAUAUGGUAGAGCUCUCGGGCUUGUAACUUGCAUCUCCAAGUCUCAAGAUUUUCGAGAAGAUCAAGGUUCAAAUCCUUGUGUCCCAC